GCUGGCGGCAUGCUUUACACAUGCAAGUCGAACGGCAGCGGGGAGGAGCUUGCUUCUCUGCCGGCGAGUGGCGAACGGGUGAGUAAUACAUCGGAACGUGUCGAGAAGAGGGGGAUAACCACCCGAAAGGGUGGCUAAUACCGCAUAAAUUCUGAGGAAGAAAGCUGGGGACCUAGGAAUAGGCCUAGCGCUUUUUGAGCGGCCGAUGUCGGAUUAGCUAGUUGGUGAGGUAAAGGCUCACCAAGGCGAAGAUCUGUAGCGGGUCUGAGAGGAUGAUCCGCCACACUGGGACUGAGACACGGCCCAGACUCCUACGGGAGGCAGCAGUGGGGAAUUUUGGACAAUGGGGGCAACCCUGAUCCAGCCAUGCCGCGUGUAUGAAGAAGGCCUUAGGGUUGUAAAGUACUUUUGUUAGGGAAGAAAAGUCAGCUGUGAAUAAUGGCUGAUACUGACGGUACCUAAAGAAUAAGCACCGGCUAACUACGUGCCAGCAGCCGCGGUAAUACGUAGGGUGCGAGCGUUAAUCGGAAUUAUUGGGCGUAAAGCGAGUGUAGACGGUUAUUUAAGCCAGAUGUGAAAUACCCGAGCCUAACUUGGGAGGUGCAUAUGGAACUGGGUAGCUAGAGUGUGUCAGAGGGAGGUAGAACUCCACGUGUAGCAGUGAAAUGCGUAGAGAUGUGGAAGAAUACCGAUGGCGAAGGCAGCCUCCCUGGGAUAACACUG
rnacentral:rRNA from 1 species